GGGAGAUGGAGCCUGGCAUCGAGGAUUCGAAGUGAGGAGCUAGGGGAAAAUUACGUAAUGGGAGGUUUGUGGGGAUAAUUCCAAGAGCUGGAGAUGUGAUCAGGCUCUUCGAGCCAUUCCUCAACAUAUACCAGCAAAUUUAUUCUAAAUGAAUAUUUAAGUGGUAUUUAAUAUUUAAUAUUUAAGCCAACAUAGCACUCAUAUAUGUUCAGGGGGUGUGCUGGCAAAUGCUAAAUAACUGGCUUUCAAAAAUGAGUGGAAGAUAUACUUUUGAAAUAAUCUACAUUAUUAAUGUUUUUUCUCCAUCAUUUUCUUAAGUUGUCAGUUAAGUCAACAAAACAAUAAAUCAAACAAAUCAACAAACUGAUGCACUGAUUUGUAGCACCUACAGAUUUCUAAGGUAUAAAUGCUCACACUGAAAAUUUAACAAUCAGUCCUUCCAGACUGGUACAAGCUGGUUCCAGCAUGCCCCUGCACAUGUUUCAAUAGAAUUUAUUGAAGGAUUUGAAUGACAGCUGAAUUGUGGAUGAAAAGCAAGUGAAGAGAAUUCAAAUGCUGCUAACCUCCCAUGGUGGGUGCUACCAGGCCAAAAUUAGCACAAACAGCAGAGAAUUGAUCCGUACUUUGUUGCAGCUCAGCUUCAGAGGUUGCACUGAAUGCAUAAUCAUCUGCAAACAGAAAAUCAUGUAGCAACACUCUCUUCACUUUGGUCUUGGCUUGUAGCCUUUUGAAGUUGA